rnacentral:rRNA from 1 species
AGGACGAACGCUGGCGGCGUGCCUAACACAUGCAAGUCGAACGCGCUCCAUUCGGUAGCAAUACUGAUGAAGAGCGAGUGGCGAACGGGUGAGUAGCACGUGAGCAACCUGCCCCGAAGACCGGGACAACACCGGGAAACCGGUGCUAAUACCGGAUAUCCCUAUCGGACCGCAUGAUCUGAUAAGGAAAUGGAUUCCGCUUCGGGAGGGGCUCGCGGCCUAUCAGCUAGUUGGUGAGGUAACGGCCCACCAAGGCAUCGACGGGUAGCUGGUCUGAGAGGACGAUCAGCCACACUGGGACUGAGACACGGCCCAGACUCCUACGGGAGGCAGCAGUGGGGAAUCUUGCGCAAUGGGCGAAAGCCUGACGCAGCAACGCCGCGUGGAGGACGAAGGCUUUCUGAGUUGUAAACUCCUUUCAGCAGGGACGAUAGUGACGGUACCUGCAGAAGAGCACGGCCACUACGUGCCAGCAGCCGUA